rnacentral:other from 1 species
UUGCCCCUGGGGUGUGCGUGGCCCUUAUAGACCCUUUUGAGUCAACAGCUAAGGAAUAACCGUCUGAUCCCUGCUGUGGUGAGCAAGUUCUCCUCGGAGAGAAAAGCCUGAAGCAGCAUAUUGGACCCUGCCUGAAAUAUAUCAGGCUCUAGGAACUUACAAGGCACGGCAUCAUCGGGGGCAAU